rnacentral:tRNA from 1 species
GAUUCUGGGGUGUAACAUAUGCGGUUGCAAACCGCAAGAAGUAGAAUGAAAAUCUACCGGAAUCU